rnacentral:rRNA from 1 species
AUUGAACGCUGGCGGCAGGCCUAACACAUGCAAGUCGAGCGGUAACACAGGGAGCUUGCUCCUAGGUGACGAGCGGCGGACGGGUGAGUAAUGUCUGGGAAACUGCCUGAUGGAGGGGGAUAACUACUGGAAACGGUAGCUAAUACCGCAUAAUGUCGCAAGACCAAAGAGGGGGACCUUCGGGCCUCUUGCCAUCAGAUGUGCCCAGAUGGGAUUAGCUAGUAGGUGGGGGAACGGCUCACCUAGGCGACGAUCCCUAGCUGGUCUGAGAGGAUGACCAGCGACACUGGGACUGAGACACGGUCCAGACUCCUACGGGAGGCAGCAGUGGGGAAUAUUGCACAAUGGGCGCAUGCCUGGUGCAGCCCUGCCGCGUGUAUGAAGAAGGGCUUCGGGUUGUAAAGUACUUUCAGCGGGGAGGAGGGCGUUGAGGUUAAUAACCUCAGCGAUUGACGUUACCCGCAGAAGAAGCACCGGCUAACUCCGUGCCAGCCGCCGCGGUAA